AGAGAACAGGGAGACUGUGGAAAAUGCCUUCAGAAAAUCAAAGAGAAGUUAUGACUCUUCUCUUUCCUUUAAUGUGUUAAGUUAUUCUGACUCAAUCAUAGACUUGUCAAUCCAAUAUUGGAAAUAACAGUUUUCAUUUGGAAGAUUGGUUCUGGACAUUUUCAGAGACAUUUGAAAAUUCACAACUGUCUUGUAUGAAGUUACAUUUGCAGCAGAUAAAAUUGAUACAAGGUCUAGAUUUUGAACAAAUGUUAGUGCAUGUGUCAAAACUCCUAAUCUUUCAUUAACUGGUCAUGUUAAAAUUACUUUUAUUUCUCCUACAGUAUUUAAUGUAAGUUAUAGUGAUUGUAUAUAGUCUAAUUUUGUACUGUAUUGAAAUCUGACAUACCACCAGCUUUUGUUUUAUUGCUUGUAUUGUAGGACCUUGAUAUUCUGAAAAAAGGCUUACAAAUAUUGGAAGAAGUAAAAGAUAAAAGUUUUAAAGUUGCCCCCCCUAGACACAAAGUUUAGAGCAGAAAAAAAAAAAAAAAA
rnacentral:lncRNA from 1 species